AAAGCAGUCGUUUAACGGUUAGGACGCUGGAAAUUUUUAAGUUUCGAAAUUAUCGCUCACCUUGGCAGGUCAAAUGAAACUUACUUCUAAAAUGUUCCAUUCCAGAAAUGCAGGUUCGAGUCCUGCCUGCUUUG
rnacentral:tRNA from 1 species